GACGAACGCUGGCGGCGUGCUUAACACAUGCAAGUCGAACGGUGAAGCGCCUUCCUUUUUGGUGGGUGUGGAUGAGUGGCGAACGGGUGAGUAACACGUGAGUAACCUGCCCCCUUCUUCUGGAUAACCGCAUGAAAGUGUGGCUAAUACGGGAUAUUCUGGGUCUGUCGCAUGAUGGGUCUGGGAAAGUUUUUGUUUCGGUGGGGGAUGGGCUCGCGGCCUAUCAGCUUGUUGGUGGGGUGAGGGCCUACCAAGGCGGUGACGAGUAGCCGGCCUGGGGGGGUGGACGAGCACGCUGGGGCUGCGCCACGGCCCAGACUCCUACGGGACGCAGCAGUGGGGCAUAUUGCACGAUGGGCGCAAGCCUGAUGCAGCGUCGCCGCGUGAGUGAUGGAGGCCUUCGGGUUGUGAACCUCUUUCGCCAGUGAAGCAAGCCUGCCUCGUUUGUGGGUGGGUUGACGGUAGCUGGAUAAGAAGCGCCGGCUAACUACGUG
rnacentral:rRNA from 1 species